GUGCCUAAAAAUUUUACAAAGUUGUUUCUAUGGCUUAUUAAGGUAUUAACAAUGUGAUUAUGAUGAUGAUUAAAAGGCUUAUUAAGCUACUUCUAAAAAAACAUUAAUAUUGCUUGAAACAUUAAUCUACCACAUGUUGGUUAUUUUUGUAGUCUGUGAUUCGAUAGACAAAAAUGACACUUCUUCUGUUUUUUUAUCUUUGCUUUUCUUCAGUACUUCUGUCUGUGAGCCAGAGAGUGGAAGAGAGCAGCCUCCGUUACUCUGUACUUCCCCUAUCAAGGAAAAGUAGUUGCCAAGUUCUGCGCAAAAUAUCUGCACACUCAGGUGCUCAAGAAUGAAGCUUCUUCAGCUGGUGAUUUAGGUGUUUCUAUCCAAAAAUCUUUCUUCAGAAUGGAGGAGAUGAUGCGUGGGGCAGAGAGGAUGGAGGGAGUUAGCUGUAUUGGGGGAUAAGAUAAACAUGUUUACUGGUAUGAUAGAAGGCUUCAUAUGGUCUCCGAAGGCUGGUGAUUCCCAUGACCAACAAGAUGACUGGGCAUUUGAAGAGAUCUUGCCAUCUCCA